UUCUGAUACAACAGGUUUCUUUCUCUCAACGACCAGAAAUUGUUAUUGAUGAUACUAUAUCAUCUAUAGAAGAUAUAAAAAUGUAUAUGGAAACUCUGCAAGCCACUAUUUUAUGUAAAGGAACUGACAUACACUAUAGGUGAAAAUUGAAAAUAAACUUAAAGAUUCACCUAAAUCGAGGCUCAAUCUAGAACUAUGACACCUGAAGUAAAAACAAGCAUCAAGUACAUCUUUUAGUAGUAGUGUGAAAAGAAAGAGAGUAUCUACAUUACCUUUGAAAAAUUC
rnacentral:misc_RNA from 1 species